AUUGAACGCUAGCGGGAUGCCUUACACAUGCAAGUCGAGCGGAGCGGCGGACGGGUGAGUAAUGCAUAGGAAUCUGCCUGGUAGCGGGGGAUAACGUCCGGAAACGGGCGCUAAUACCGCAUACUAUCAGAUGAGCCUAGGUCGGAUUAGCUAGUUGGUGGGGCAAAGGCCUACCAAGGCGACGAUCCGUAACUGGUUUGAGAGGAUGAUCAGUCACACUUGAACUGAGACACGGGCCAGACUCCUACGGGAGGCAGCAGUGGGGAAUAUUGGACAAUGGGGGAAAGCCUGAUCCAGCCAUGCCGCGUGUGUGAAGAAGGCCUUCGGAUUGUAAAGCACUUUAAGUAGGAAGGCGGUACCUGCAGAAUAAGCACCGGCUAACUACGUGCCAGCAGCCGCGGUAAUUC
rnacentral:rRNA from 1 species